GAUGAACGCUGACAGCAUGCUUAACACAUCAGCAAUUGAUUGGUGGCGUACGGGUGAGUAACGCGUACAGAACUUGCCUCCCCGCUAGGGACAACAUUUAGAACUGAAUGCUAAUACCUGAUACUGUGAGAGAGCUUUUCGUCCCAUUAGCUAGUUGGCGAGGUAACAGCUCACAAAGGCGAUGAUGGGUCGCCGGCCUGCGAGGGUGAACGGCCAAAAGGGGACUGAGAGACGGCCGUUACGACUACGGGAGGCAGCAGUGGGGAAUAUUGGACAAUGGACCGAAGUCUGAGACAGCAAUUCUGUGGGAACGAUGAAGUUUUCGGAAGGUAAAGUGCUUUAAGUUGGGAAGCGGUACCAACAGAAGAAGGGACGGCUAAAUACGUGCCAGCCGCCGCGGUAAUUC
rnacentral:rRNA from 1 species